rnacentral:rRNA from 1 species
AUUGAACGCUGGCGGCAUGCUUUACACAUGCAAGUCGAACGGUAACAGGCCGCAAGGUGCUGACGAGUGGCGAACGGGUGAGUAAUGCAUCGGAACGUGCCCAGUCGUGGGGGAUAACGCAGCGAAAGCUGCGCUAAUACCGCAUACGAUCUAUGGAUGAAAGCGGGGGACCGAAAGGCCUCGCGCGAUUGGAGCGGCCGAUGGCAGAUUAGGUAGUUGGUGGGGGAAAGGCUCACCAAGCCAACGAUCUGUAGCUGGUCUGAGAGGACGACCAGCCACACUGGGACUGAGACACGGCCCAGACUCCUACGGGAGGCAGCAGUGGGGAAUUUUGGACAAUGGGCGCAAGCCUGAUCCAGCAAUGCCGCGUGCAGGAAGAAGGCCUUCGGGUUGUAAACUGCUUUUGUACGGAACGAAACGGCUCUGGUUAAUACCUGGGGCUAAUGACGGUACCGUAAGAAUAAGCACCGGCUAACUACGUGCCAGCCGCCGCCGUAAUAC